rnacentral:rRNA from 1 species
AACGAACGCUGGCGGCAUGCCUAACACAUGCAAGUCGAACGAUGCCUUCGGGCAUAGUGGCGCACGGGUGCGUCACGCGUGGGAAUCUGCCUUUCGGUUUGGAAUACCUCAGGGAAACUUGAGCUAAUACAGGAUAACGUCGCAUGACCAAAGAUUUAUCACGGAAAGAUGAGCCCGCGUAGGAUUAGCUAGUUGGUGAGGUAAAGGCUCACCAAGGCGUCGAUCGUUAGCUGGUCUGAGAGGCUGAGCCGCCACUCUGAGGCUGGGAAGCGGCCGAGACUACUACGGGAGGCAGGAAAGGGGAAUAUAGCAAAAUGGGGUAAGGCCUGAACGAGCUAGGCCGGGAAAGCGAUGAAGGUCUUAGAGUAGUAAAGCUCUUUUACCCGGGAAGAUAAUGACGGUACCGAGAGAAUAAGCCCCGGCUAACUCCGUG